AUGGGUGCCAAAAAUAAAAAAAGGAUGGUGGUAGCAAAAAACAAAACGAUGGUAGCAAAAAUUUGGAAUGGUUGUAGCAAAAAAGCACUUCCAAAAAUGUGGAUCCUAGCAAAAAAAUGUUGUUGUUUCCAGCAAAAACAAAAACCGGUUGUAGCAAAAAAAUUACUGAUUGCAGCACCCGCCGAGGCCGAUUCCAGCAUCUCGUUUGCUCAUGCAAGACGUAACCGCCGGCCCAUCACCCGGUGGAGGACGGCGCACGUCGGAGCAGCGCGGGGGCAGGUGGAGGCGGCUGCUCGCUAG
rnacentral:rRNA from 1 species